GCCUGAGUGGCUCAGUGGUUGAGCAUCUGCCUUUGGCUCAGAUCAUGAUCUUGGGGUCCUAGGAUUGAGUCCUGCAUCAGGCU
rnacentral:tRNA from 1 species